rnacentral:rRNA from 1 species
UACAGAGGGGGCGAGCGUUAAUCGGAAUUACUGGGCGUAAAGCGCACGUAGGCGGCUUGGUAUGUCGGGUGUGAAAUCCCCGGGCUCAACCUGGGAACUGCAUCCGAAACUGCCUUGCUCGAGUAUGGGAGAGGGAAGUGGAAUUUCCGGUGUAGCGGUGAAAUGCGUAGAUAUCGGAAGGAACAUCAGUGGCGAAGGCGACUUCCUGGACCAAUACUGACGCUGAGGAGCGAAAGCGUGGGGAGCGAACAGG